UACGUAGGGGGCUAGCGUUGUCCGGAAUCAUUGGGCGUAAAGCGCGUGUAGGCGGUCCGGUAAGUCCGCUGUGAAAGUCGGGGGCUCAACCUCGGAUGCCGGUGGAUACUGUCGGGCUUGAGUACGGAAGAGGAGAGUGGAAUUCCUGGUGGUAGCGGUGAAAUGCGCAGAUAAUCAGGAAGAACACCCGUGGCGAAGGCGGCUCUCUGGGACGGUACUGGACGCUGAGAGC
rnacentral:rRNA from 1 species